GCCACGGUGGUGUAGUGGUAGCACGCGUUCCAAAUAAGGGUGAAACACGAGUUCAUCUCCCGUCUGGGGACG